CGCAUUCUCUUGUUACUACUGCCUCCUGCAGCCUCUGCUUGUCCACUCUGUUCCCGGUGCAACCCCUGUGUGCCCUGCAUGGAAUUUCUGGAAGUGAUUUAAAAAUCAAGGACGUGUAAAUCAACAAAGAACAUAUUAAGCUUAGAGGUUCUUCGUCACAAGUUGCCAAAAUGAAACAGAACUGUGAAAAGAAAAUGGAGAUGCUUCUUCAGGAGGUGCCCGUGAUGUGAUUUACUUGAUGAUUAUGGCCUGCAGGGUAUUGAGAUGGGAUUAUGUAACUUAAAUAAACUGGAUAUGAGUAGAGAUCUGAAAGAUUUUUCAAAAACAUUCAGCUUUACUUUUUUUUUUCUCCUAAGGAACAAGUUGUUCACUCAUAGAGCUGAAAAGGAUAAAUGAAGUGUUCAGUUCACAGAAGCAAAAUAUGAGUAGUUCAUAUAUCUUUUGUAAAUGUUCUAUGUAUCACUGUAAACUAGACAUCUUCCACAUGCCCCUAUGUUUUUCCAUUUUGAAAUCAAUUUCUAGUUCAAACUUGUCAAUAGACAAUGAAUAUUUGCAAAGUUAUAGUUUCACUGAAUUAGGAUGUAACCUGUAGCUCACAAUGAAAAUGCCAUUAGCUUGAGUUUAAAAUUUAUGUUGCUAUUUUUUUCUUUUGUCAAUAUUUUCCUUCUGUGGGACUUAUUGCACAAGGGUCGGAUAUCACAACUGAGGGAAACUGCAGAACAAUGGUUCUUCCAAUCAUUCAGACCCAUUUAAGCCAUAGUCUUUGUUGGCUUUGCCAAAUGACUGAAUGCUUGGGUCUAUUAGCACUGUCAAAUAGUGUUGAGUACAUACUUGUGGCAUAAGCAAGUUAAUAUUUAUAGGGAGCACUUUUGCAUGUCUUUUAAGUCACAUACUAAUUUUGGAAAGUCUCUAUGCUUUAUAUUUUGCCCUGAAAACAGAUAUUCUAGUUUAAAAAUGUUAAUUUAGUGAUUAGAAACCGCUGUAUAUAUUAUUACAUAUAUUGUCUAACAAUUGAAGAUAAUUAUGUUUAUUAAUUGCAAAUAACAGGACACAUAAAUAAUAAACUUUAAGAUCUCAAAUACAAUGGCUAAAUAUUGCUGAUUCCUUUUUGCCUUCUUUGACUUAUUUUUUUCCAUGUGUUCUCUUCCUUUAUAGAAGUGUAUUUUUUAGCUAUGUGAUGUAGA
rnacentral:lncRNA from 10 species